GGAGGCGGCAGCCGGGAGGACACUGCUGUGGAAACGGAAUUGUUCAUACCUCCUGUCUCCAUUUCCUUAAUUCUCAUUCACUCCUGACUAUAGUGGAAUGAAGCCUGGCCUGGGUGAUCUGCCCUGUGUGAUCCUGAGCAGGCAUAAAUAAACUCUUACCUCGGCAGGAGCGCAUCAGAUAUGUAUGCCUGGUUCUCUGCCUGAGAGGGAACAGAUCCUGGUUUCAGCAGUGAACAAAGAGGCAGCAAAAAAGAUAAAUUCUCGCUUGAGUGUGCUGGAGCAGGCUCACAUGACUUGAGAGCUGAUUCUGAUAACUCUUUCCAACUCUGCAGUCAGCAUUCAGUGAACUCAAGUUGACAGCUUGCAGUCAGCCAUGGUGGGAGAAUUUACAACAUGGAAACUGGUAAACACUGCGAAGUGUGGCUCCCUAUCCCCCACCCUUGCCCAAAGCUGCGUGUUAACUGUUGAUUAGCACACCACUGGGAGAGGCAGAAAACAUGUUACUCCCCUACUCUGAGCUGGCUCUGGUUAUGUGCACCACUCUUUCAUUGCAGGAAGAGAUAGCAAUGUCUAGAUUCAUUAUCUGCAAUAAUAAAGAUGAUGAUAAUGACGAUAAACACUUAGUGAGCACGUCUAGAUGCUGUGCUUCACUGUACCAAGUGCUUCCCCUGCAUAGCCUUAAUAUAUACUCAAAUGACUUUAUGAAAUAGGGACUGUCAUUACCUCUAUUUUACAUAUGAGGAAAUUGAAGACCAGAGUAAGUAAUUUGUCAAAUGUUCCACUGCUGAUGAAUAGAAGAUUCUGGAUUCCAGUCCAGGCAAGGCCUCUCUAGAGUCUCAGCUCUGAUCUCCAUGACAACCCCUUCCUGUGGAAAGUAGGAAGAGAGGUUGGAAAGUGUCAUCCCCAACUAGCAGUUGACAGCAUGUAUUACUAUGAUAGAAACAUUAGAUGUUACGGAAAAACCUGAAUGAACUUUCUGACCAACCCAAUAUUUAAAAGAUGCAUCCUUGUGUAUUGUGAUACAACUUUUAUAUAAGAUUUUCAAACUUGCAAAAUAAUACAACAUAUUUUCAUGGAUAUUUACAUAUGUGGUAAAAGUGUAAAAACAUACAUGGAGAUAAUGUGGGUACCUGGCUAUUUUUUAUGUUACCACUUUUUUGUAUAUUUAAACUAUUUUGUAAUAAAAAUUUAAUGUAUUUCUAUAUAAGGUAAUCCGAUUGGUUUUAAUGUGAGAUUAUAGGUAGUUCUACUCAUUUAUUUUAUUUAAAAAAUUUUUUUAAAGAUGUUUAUUUAUUUAUUUAUUUGCCACGCUGCACAGCUUGCGGGAUCUUAGUUCCCUGACCAGGGAUUGAACCUGUGCCCCCUGCAAUGGAAGCACGAAGUCCCAACCACUGGACCAUCAGGGAAUUCCCUCUAAUCAUUUAUUUAAAAUUUUUUAAUAUUGUUGUAUUGUCCUUUCUUUUUUUUUUU